UAUCCUUAAAAGAAAUGAGAAUAACACAUUGAGAUAUUGUACUCCAAAAUGUGAUCUAUAGAAUUCAUAUCUGUGAGAAGAUACAUUUAAUUUUCCAAGGUAAUUUUCAAAAGGCAAAAAUUAGAUGUAUAAGUUAAACUAUAUACAGAGAGACUAAGAUAUUUUAAUUUAUUUUAUCAUAAUAGCAGCAAGGCAGUGUGAUAGAGAGUUAUCUUGUAGAAUUAAUUAUUGCCCUUUUCCCUGAAAGUUUUAUGGUGGCUUUGGCUUUCAUUGGACCAAAGCAGCCAGAGAACAUUAUUCUCUGACAACAUUUUAUUCUACAUUUAUUUAUAUCUGUUCUCUCUCAGGCAGAAUGGAAGUCCUUGAAAGUCAAGGUGAACAGGUGAAACCAGUGCAAGGCAGAGCAGUGGAUCAGUUCUCAGUGUGUUAAAUAAAUGUGCCACAAGAGUAAGUGCUCAUAGAGUACACAGCGGGAGUGCGUUUCCAAUGAAUUUGAUAGUUUGAUCUAGUAGAGGGCAAAAAUUUGCUUUAGAGUGGGGAAGAAAAUAGUCACAAUUACCUUCAUUCCUGAAUUUUUUGCUGGAAUGCUCCUGAUGUGAAAAUACCCUCUCUGCUCUCACACACCACUUGUUUUCUCACUGCAGUGGCACAGCAGUCUACGGUUCAUGGGGGUGCCGCUCAGCUCUCAAACCCCACUCUCUGUGUGCUGAGCUCUCAGUAGCUCGUACACUGUCCCAGCAGGAUUUCACAGCUUGUUUACAUCUGCAGAUAUGUUACAUGCCCAAUCCCAAGGAAGGCUUGAUAGCUAAACACAGGAAAAGAGACCUGGAGAAAGGCUGGGUAGGGGGCAGCCAGUGAGGAACAUUUACUCAUGAUUUUUAAAUUUGUCUCAAGCUUUCUCCACACUCUGUGUGGGCACAAGGAAAGGGCAGGUUGGAUACUGACUCUGACCUGGUCUUAGUGACAACCACACCUUCACAGGGCCAGCCUGUUCUUCAGAAGAGUGCUGUAUUUUCCAGGUUUUCUCCAUUUUAUUUUAAAGCUCUUCACAGAUAAUUUUCUAACAGUAAGAUAAUUUUAACAUCAUCAAUGACUUUCAAAGUUUUAUUACCAAUAAUAUCGUUAUUGUUGUUAUUAUUGUUGUGUCAUUGUUAUUUAGUUUGACAUAAAUUUGGAGACAAAACACUCUUCCACAGCUACAGGUAAAGAGGAAUGGAAAGCAGUACCAGGAAUGGUGAGUAAACCAGAAUUGUCAGUCUUUCGCUGUGGGUCGUGCUGGGAGAUGGGAGGGGAUGACUGUGCGGUUUUAUAGGUUUUUUUUCUUUUCAUCUAAGGAGAUCGCUGAACAAAGGGCUGUUCCUGUGCUCACUGUAGAUGUGCACUAUACCCAAGUACUGGAAGAAGUAUUUACCUGUUGGUUUUCAGCUCAUAACACUCCCAGAUUAGUGCAGGUUCCUUUUGUCAUCUGCCUUUAAACCCAGUGAAUAUUCAUCAGCAACGUUGAGGCAAAGAAAAAGGCUGCAUGAUUAAUUCUGCUUUCAACACUGGAUGUGAAAGUUUGCCUAGAAAGCCCCUGUGUGGAAUGGCAGCAGAGAAGAGCAAGAAGUGCCUGCUUUUUGUGAGGAGGAACACACUGUGCUGCUUGCCCUGCCACAGCCACAGAGCUCUCACCAGCAGUCAUUCAACUCCUUAGCCUAUGAGUGUGCCAAGAUCCAGAGUUAUCCCAGGUAAUGAGCGAGUUGAGAGGAAGUGGUACCCUUUGUGGUUCCUGUCUUUCUUUCCCAUCAUUUUCUUACCCUACAGCCUGACUGAACUUGUGGGAUGCUUAUAUUGAAAUCAGAGGAAAAUUCUCAGCAGGCUGAGAUCCCACUGACACCUGUUUCUCUCUUGUCCAUGCCAGAGGCCUGCACGAGGACCUGUACUAGGAGACAGUCCUUGAAAUCCAGGUGGAGUCAUGUCUUUCCUGUGUUAGCUGUGGUUGUUCCUCAGAGGCUAUAGGAAACAUUUCCUAUAGCAUAAUCCUGAAUUCAUGAGCAUGCAAUAACCAUUCUCACUGUCCUGUCUGCUUACUCAGAAGCCUUCUGAAAUACACAGUGUCUUCCCAAAAGCACGGGUUUCAGGUUGCCAUUUCUUAUCCUUGUCUUCAAUUCCCAUUUCAUUGCUCAAACCCAGGAAAUUCCGUUUGACUAGAAGGUAGCUGUUUCUUGAAGUAACAUGAAGAAAAGCAUACAGUUCUUAGUUCAGAAAAAUAUGAAAAAUCCCUUGCUUCCCACUGUAAAUCUCUUGCAGUAAUUAAUAGGUGAGUUAGAGGUAUAAAUGCCUUCUUUCUAGUUUGAUUUUUGGUCUGGCUACAGAUUUCAGCUUGAUGUUAUUUUUAUCCACAAGACAAAGAGUGCUUUGGCACCUGGUGUUUUCCUCUCAUGAUUGUACAUCUGUAUUCCAACCUUGAAUAUUUUUUUAGAAGCUGAACAGAUUGGCUCCUUAGAGUCUAAUCAUUUUAUGGCACUUUCUCGUUCCCAAGUAGGAGCUGAAAUUUUUUUUGCACACGUUCUCCAGAUUUUCAGUAGACUGUAGAAAAUGUGGACAUCAAAAGUAAAUAAAUUAUUCAAUUAUUAGUGUCCUUCAAAUGAUGUACAGCAAUAUUACCUCCUGAGGAGAAAGCCCUGUGGGCUGCAUUGAGCCUAGAGCAUCCCCUGCUGCUCUGGGCUUGGGAUGGCACUCCCAGGCAGGGAACUGCUGUGGAGUUUGUUCUGUGUGAGGCAAUCUUUUAUUCCUUAGGUGUUGUUUACUCUUAGAAAGAAAAAAAACCCCAAACACUCAAGUUUGAAAAUAUCCCAUAAACAGGGUUUAAUGUUUUCUCACAGCAUUUCCAUUCUCUGUCUCAACCCCUAAAGCCAUUUUAUAAAAGCCGCCUGUGCAAAGCAGAAGGGGAAAAUGUAGAAAAGAAAAAGGAUACAGAAUAAACUUUCUCAUUAUAUUUUAUAUCCCAUAAUGUGCUCACAGCAGCCAUGUCUGUAUGUCUAAUUCAGGAAAAAUACACCAGUCUUUCUCUGAGGAUUAUAGUUUCAAAAAUCACUUUUACCUAUUUCCUGAUUCCAGAGGGUAGGCUCUAUUUAAUUCCCCCUAAUUGAAAUUAGAGAUAUUAUGUUUAUUCAGAUAUAGCCCUCAGGGUCUCAUGCAAAGCAGGAAUGUUUCAGUGGUUGCAUUUCCCAACAGAACUCGUUGAAGAUCUUAGAGGUGAGUAAUCAGUGCCAUAAAAUAGCUGCUCCAUUUUUAUAGUUAUGGGCAAAUCUUUGUUCUGGUUUUCCUGGCUCCAAGUGCAAUGUGCUGGUCUGUCACUGCUGAAUGAGGAAAUUCACUCAAUCUCUCUUCUAAUUCCAGAAUUAUUCAGUCUGUAAUUGCCUACUGAUACUAUUUCCCCAAAGAUCAUUUAUUUUAUACUGUGUUUUUUCACCAAGCACUUUCAGAACAUGUAAACAGAAGUAGAGUUGCAGUACAAGGGAGUCAGUACUGCUGGAAACAUUAACAGCUUUGAUAAUGAAAGCAGAGCAGGUCUGAGAGUUUAUAGUUCCUGCUGUGCAUGGGUCCAGGUGAGAGAUACACUGGCAUAAAGGAGCAUUUGGGGAAUUACUGAGGUAGGUGUGACAGCAGUAAGCCAAGAUUGUUCAUUACGGGGAGGGUAGAUGGAAGGAAGGCCAGUUCGGGUGUAAAGUUAUCAAUGCUUUUCUUGUAUUCCCAGUGGAAAUGCCAUAUCAGGGACUCUAUUCUGUAUUGUCUCCCAAGACAGAAGACUUCCCAAAGUAUCAAAGUGUGUGCUGAGAUUUAUCCUGCAACACUGUAACCUUAGUUUACCUUAAAGAAACAAUGGAAAACAAGCCUUUUAUUGUCCACUGCAUUUACUCACCAUGCCAUCUUUAGCAUCUCCCACCCAUUAUCACCACCUUGGGUUUCUCCUGAUUCACCCAGCCCUCAAAUCUGUCAGCCUUCCCUGGGAUUGUACCAGUCUUUGUUGUUGUGUUCCCUUGCAGUUUGGAUUUCUUUUCCUUGGAAGCAGCAGUGCUGUUCCCAGCAGUGCAGGCUGUGUGCUGGCCCUGUGAGUGUGUCAGUUUUUAAGCGAUGCGGAUGUUUCCUGACCCGUAAUACGCAAUAAACAGGUUACCCUCUGGAUGGAAGAUUAAAUCCAUGCUUUUGUUAGCAAGUUGAAGCACAGGCUUUAGCUAAAUUAACCCAAAUGCCUUUGCCUGGCCAUCUGUUUCCAACGGAAAUGAAUCUUGAGCUUUAAUUAUAAAUCUCUUAUAAAUAUUAUUUUUCUUUUCUAUCCCAAUCUGCCCUUUUGGAGAUUGGUUGAGCUCUCCUUGUGUCGUCUGAAAGGUGGGUGGGAUCACCAGCGUGGCUCAUGGUGUGAUUCAUUUUUUCUAUUAGCCUUCCUGUUAAUGACUUUAAAUCUAUUUAUGCUCUUGCUGCAAGUUGAAGCAAAAAUCUGUGUUACCAAACCAUGUUCAUAAAUUUGCUACUGAUACGUGUUAUGAAGCAGUCUAAGUACAAACAUGUUAAACCUUAUGGAAAAUCUGCCCCAACCUGGCUGAAUUGUUCCAAUGUUUAAUUACCCAGAUUGUUAGAACUGUACACCCUCUUUCUAAUUGUUUUUCUAAUUCUAAUUUCCUGGUCUAGCCCUCAUAUCAUCUUAUAAUUCUUUAUGUUCCCCAUGAAGGUGUGCUUAGAUUGAAACCAAACAGAAAAAACUCCUAGUCCAGGUGCUGCUCUCCAACAAAACAUUACUCAUCUAAGUAAGGAUUUGUCAUUAAAAUGCUGUUUAGUUUAUUAUUUUUUUCCAAAGAAAGGGUGAAGUAAUUCUCUUUAAGUUAAAUGGGCGACAGGGAGGGGAACGCAGAGCACUCUGCACUGGGGUGUCAGAGGAGUCCUUGGUGGGAUCCCCUCUGGAGCUCAUCCCUUUUUCCUGGCAGGUAAAGGGGAGGUAUUCACAUCUCAUGCAGUGCAGGGCAGCAACUCCUUAUUGUGACCAAAAAAGAAAAGCAAAGCUCACUGAGUUACGCAUGCUGGCACCUUUUCCAGCCCUGCUGGGGAACUUGGCCCUUGCUAGUCGGCACAAAGACCUUGAGCAAGAGAGGAACCUUUUCCUGCCAAGCUUUCCUCCCCAGCAGAGGCCGACUUGCAGCAGCACAGCAUGGAGAUGAGUCAGUGCAGGAUGGACGUGGGUAAACUCUGUUAGCCCACCUCUGCAGAGACAGCUGCAUUUAUUGCUUCACCCCAGAACCACUGAGCUGGGAGGGUGUUCAACAGCCAGCACUGAAAUCCUGGGAUAUGUGCUGGUCUUCUGCUCCACCUCUUACCCCUGCCACGUUCAGUUCCCAUCCCUCCUGCGCAGCUCUUGGUGCUUGCCAUCAGUUAGGCUUGUUCUCUUCCUUCCAAAAGGAUUUCUAGUUUAGAAGGGUGCCAGCUUGCCUUUUGAUCUUCUUGAAGGUGCAUUCUCUCCAGAAUGACCAGAGUAACUUCUAUCAAAACAGGCUUUAUUCAGACAUUCUCAUAGCUGUGGCUUUGUUUGAGUCACCAUCACUGGAGGGGUUUAAAAGCUGUGUAGAUGUGGCAGGAGGGGACACAGUUAGUGGUGACCUUUCUGCCACUGUUAAAUCAGCCCACGGGUUUUCUUCCUGUAUGAUUUUGCUCUGCUGAGUGCUUGUACAGAAAAUGUAUCUACACUAAGUACUUAAGUUCAGUGAGUGAAAAUGAUUCAGUCUGAUCUGUUCUCAUUCCUGCCCAAGCUGUGUUCUUCCCUGAGAAAUACAAUAUUUAUUUUCAUAUUCCUCACAAAUACUGUGGCAGUGACUUCUUCCUUCAGCAUUCCUCAUAGAGAAGUUUAGCAGCAGCUCCUGUGAAGAAAAGGCAUCUGAGAAGCAUGAGAUAAAAGGUGAGAUUGUAUCUAGUACCAGUUCCAGCUCUCUGCACCUCUGAGAGAAUAAUAAUCAGUCCUUGGAAUAAGGGAAGAUGCUCCAAGGAUUGUUCAGCUGGACCUCUAAGUUUCUGGGCUGUGAAAUGUAGAAUAAAAUAGAAGCAGAAGAUAGAAGAUAAUGACAGAGUUCCCCUCAAAUGAAGGCUCUGGCUUUACAUACUCAGCCUCUGGGAAAAGAUAUAGACAGAACUGGUUUAUAAACAGGAAAAAUGCCGGUUCUUCAUCCAGUUUUGAAUAAAGAACUCCAAAUAACAGAAGCAUUUGUGUGGAUUUUUAUGUGAGCAGAUGACUUUAAUGUAUUCUCAAUCACUGUCUAUGUGUAUAUUUAGAACAAAAACAGAUAUUUAGGCAACAACAGAUAAUCCAAGACACUUGUAACUGUUAUGACGCAAUGUUAGCAAAGUUACUCUCACAGUAACACAAAUAGUUGCAUUAAGUCUCCUGACUUCUGGACUUUGGGCACCUCUGCUUUUCCAUCCAUAAAUCCUCCUGAAUCAGUGACCUCUGGGUGUUGAUGGCUCAUGUUAGGCUCUCUCUACAUACCAGCCUUGGGAAAUGAAGCCUGGAAUAUUUGUGCUGUGGCUGGGGAUGCGAGAAGUAUGCUCAGGCUCGUUAAAUCUGCAGGACUUGGAAGCUGUGCCUGUGGUGACACCACAGACAAUGUUCCACAUGAAACCCAAGCACUGGAACUCCUUGGCACAAGGCACAUGCGAGCGCUCAGGAGCAGUUCCAGAGCCGACUCCAACAUGUCUCCUUGUUUUUCAGCUGCUGACCAAGAGGUGCUUUGUACAAAAAAAAAGUCAGACAUGAAACAGAUGUCCUCGGGGAAGCUGGGGAUGGAAAUAGCUCUCAUGUGAGGCAUCACACACACAUGGACUGGAGGCUGCUUUGGGAAUUUCUCCAGAGACCAACGACCUUUCCUGCAGGUUGUGGGGAGCUGUCAGAUGUGGAGUUCUUAUAGAGGAUAACAUCCAUACAUGUCUUCAUUUCCCCAGGCUAAGAGAGGACAGUGCUUUUUCAAAACAUGGAUAAGCCAGCUAUGCUACUGUAUCACUUCAGUUGUUUCCAGCUAUAGGCAGAGAUCCAGACACAUUCUGGAUCAGUAAGAUGAAUCCUGGAUUCCAAAAGAAGGAACCUUUUCCUUUAAGCCUGCUCUUUUCUUCAGUCUAACACAACUAACCUGAAAUACUCUUAUUUCUUUUAAACUCUGCUUCUCAAUUGCUUUUGAAUUGCUUUCAUCUAAAGUGCGAAAUUCCAAGUCACUGCAAAAAAGCUGUCUGAGGAAUAUUCUUGGCAGUACUGCUAGCAGAGAGUACAGGAAACCUCACAAGAGUUGGUUCCAGCAGCACUGCCAUCCACGUUUCACAGCUGCAGGGACAUUCAGAGCAAAUCCAAACACUGCCUUUCCCUUCAGCAGAGCCACAGUUACCCAGGACACGUCCCUGGAAAUGUCCAGUGCCAGGUUGGAUGGGGAUUGGAGCAACCUGGUCCAGUGGAAGGUGUCCCUGCCCAUGGCAGGGGGUGGAUUGGAUGGUCUGUAAGGUCUCUUCUGAGCCAAACUGUUCUGUGGGCCUGUGAAAACACUUGCAGGCAGCCCCUUGAGCUGCUUGGUGUAUUGGCCUCAUCUGUGCAUGGAGCACAUUUUCUGUUACUGGUGCAAGUUCUUGAGUAUCACCUUAUCUAAAAUGUCCUUGAGAUGGAAGACGUCCUCAGCACCUCAUUUUGGCCAUAUAGUAAACCUGAGGAAAUACCCUAGAUAUUUAAUAUUUAAGAUAUUUUCAUAUUCUAAGGGUAUUUCAGGAAUAGGAGAUACCAUUUUAUUGCAAUAAAUUACUUUAAAACAGAAAAUAGUAAUCAUGUAAAAGGAAUGUAGACUCAACAAAUACUUGAAUGCACUAAAUAAUCCUCUUUAAAAAUUUUCCUGAUUGUCCUGACCUUUUCUUUUUGUCACUUAGCUGAUCUGCAUGUUAUGAGAUACCAGUUGAAUUGGGUGCACAAACAAUUAAACCCAGCUCCCAAGCCUUUCAGAAUGACUGAAGUAAAAGCAGAUGACAGUUGAGAGAUAGCUAUGCAGUAGUAUUCACUGUUCAGGAAAUAAUACAUAGCAAGCUAUAGAGAGCUCUGGGGAAAACACUAGGAAGAGGGAGUAUACAUUUUUUUCCAGUUAUUAUAUUAUCUUCCAAAAAAACAAAUUGCACACAUACUAUGUAGUAAGUAAACGUAGCACAUGGUUAAAAAAAAAAAAAGUCCUGUAAAAAUGUCAGCAUUCAAAGAAAAUUAUUUCUUGUACCCUAAUGCACACACAUACACGCAUGACCAAGAGCCAGCUUUUGUGGUAAAUAGUAGCUUUCUUUACAGGUUUUUAUUUAGUAAGUUUGAAAUCUCUGAAUUAUGCCAUAUUGCUCAACUUACAAAAAAUCCCUUUUGGUCUCCUAAUCCACCUGCUUUGGCAACCCACCCUGGCUGCAGAGGGCUGAGAGCUUGCUUCUCAUGCAGGAAUCACAACUUGGGUCUUAUUUAUUCACUUAUUUCUCACACAUCCUACCCUCUUGCUAAUGCUUUUUUCACGGCUGCACAUUUUUUAGAGACUUCAGUUAAGUUCCUUGUCAAGUAUUAGUGAAGUAUGAAAAUCACUAAAGUGAUUAGACAGAGAUAUAAUUUACUCAACAUAUUCAAGAUAAAAGAGACCAAAUAACCUUUUUUGCUCCCAGAAUGGAUUUAACAUCACAAAGAAGGAACAUAUGGUUUCAUCUUUUGCUAAGGUAUUACUUUUAUUCUUUUUCCUUUGCCUUUUUUUUUUGGAUGUAAAAUAAAUAAUCCAUGCAGAAAAUGGAAAGUAACGGUGUAAGGACUGAAAACUCUAAAUCAAGCAAUGGGUCAUGGAAGCAGAACUAUGUGGAGGUGAAGGGCACCCUCAGGACUUAUUUACAUGUAUCUAGAUAAUUUACUUUAGUUUUAAGAGACUGCUUGAGUCCAAUUACAGUCACUUUGCAUUGAUGUAACUGUCACACUUGAUUUGUGUACACAGUGAUUGUACAAAAUCACACACAGGUGAAAUGUGGCCUGACAGCUCCCUUGUAACUCCAGGAAAGGUUUGCUCUGUACCAUUUAUUUUGCUGUGACUUGGAAACUGAUAGGAAGGUGCAGGUGGGAUGGGUACCUGUGGGCACUCUGUAUGUCCUGUUAGUGAUGCUGCUUGCUGGCUCUGACUUCCCACUCCAGGGCUGAACCAGAGGCUUGGCAGUGUGUGAGCAAGGAGAAUCCAGGUACAAUGUGAAAGCAGCACCUUAAUGCAGCAAAAGCCCCAAGCAGCUCCUCAGGAUUUGGUGGUGUGGAGUGCAAUAGCCAAGGCAAGGAGUUGGAACAGGCAAAAGUUGCCCCCCAUUCUCCUCCACCACAUAUGGAGAAAUGCUUGGAAAAAUUUGGCCCAUCCCAGUGAAACCCUGAGAAAUUUCCAGGCAGGUAGCGAAGAAGGGAUUGACAUUGACACUAAUGAGAAGGAGGUACUGCCAUGGUUUGCCCAAAAAUGAGACGGAAUGUUUUCUCCUGAGGGAUUUGCAUUGGAAACAGGCAAAAGGCAUCAAGAAGGGCUGAUGAGAUAUCCCCCAAAUAAUAAUUAUAGUCAGAUUUAGACAUGUAAUUUUAAGUAAUGCAUAGAUUUUGGCUCUACCAUAUUUAAAGAAGAGAAAAUCCAAUCUGAAAAGCUGCCAGGGGGUGGAACAGCCUGAUCUGAACAGCCCUGAAGAGCCAUUCAAGGAUGACAGGGAAAAGAAAAACCUGUCUUCUGAUCAGAGCCUGAAACCAAUGACUGAGAGAGGAUGCAGCUGCACUCUGAACACAGAAAUGGUAUUAACAGCAUUUGGGGACAAGCUUAAUGGAAAUUAAAGGAUAACACUGGAGCUGAACAAAUGGCUCCAAGCUGAAAAUGGCUGAAAUUGGGAAGGUGAUGAGAGAAACAAUACAACCAGAAUCCUGUCUCCACAACCUGAAGUGGAAGAAAACAUUUUACAUCAUGGAUAAACUCAUUUGUCUUCUGUGGAUGGGAGAGCUAUUGUUGUUUAUACUUCCAGGGAAGACAAGUACAGAGGGGUGAAGCACAACUAUGUCCACAAAGAUGCAAUGCAGAACAGAAACCUGGAUCAAUAUUCAGUCAGACCCUGUAAUUAUGAGCUUAUUUUGUACUGAUUGAUGGUACAUCUACUACAACUCCCUGUGUAUCCUGCUGAUCCUUGUUUUUCCCAAGAUAAGGCAGCCCAAGCCUUCUGGUUGGUGAGUGCAUGUAACUAAUGUGUGUCUAUUGUCUAGUAAUAUCUGUUACCAUUUCCUGCUGGAUUGAUACCUAUUUCAUUUAAUGUAUCUUUAGUGAUCUCUGGUAAAUUAUUUUCUAAGAGAGAAACUGAGAAGCUACUUCUCUACAGGGAUAUUAUCCAGGAAAUGCAGUAUUUUUGUUUCCUCUGGAUUCUACUAGGUGUUUUUUUCUUUUAAUAAAUGGAAAGACCUCCCUGUAAUUCAGAAUAAAAAAAAAAAAAUUGUAGAAAUCAGGAUGGGGAAGGAGCUUUUGUCAGUUGGAGGAGAUGUUGCUUAUUUCACUCACCUGACCCAAAUGUAAGCCAGAAGCAAACACUUUGCACUUUCAUGUGUGUCUGGGGAGGAUGUAGGCUGAGAACUGAUGGGAUCCUCUUUAAUUUGCUUGAUAAACUGAGAAUGAAUAGUAGAGCUCAUUAGAGCAGCCCUUGGUACCAUGAAACCAGGGAGAGCAAGAGAGAGGACAAGAGGAAACUGCUUCAAGUUGAACCAGAGGAGGUUUAGGUGGAAUAUUAGGAAAAUUUUUUCAUGGGAAAGGUCGUCCAUCCCUGGCACAGGUUGCCAGGGAAGUGUUGGAGUCACUGUCCCUGUAGAAAUUUAAAAGACAAAUAGGUGUGGUGAUUAGAGAUGUGGUUUGGAAGUUGUGCAUAUCCUUAUUCUUAUUCUGUUUUUAUUCUUGCCAUGAGCACUCCCUGCUGUCUGGGUCAAGAAACCAGCUGCUGCAUUUCACCUCUACUUCAGUUUAAAGACUCCAUGGUCUCACAGUUGUGCUCUUCUCAAAACUCAUCUUCUUCUCAGUCAAAAGUGUCUCAUAUGUACUGGUUUCUUUAAAAUCUUCCCCUUUUCUGACCAAAUAUUUUGUCUUCAGUUCAGUCUGUCCUAACUUUUGUCAUUAAAAUGUUUCCCUUUUCUCACCCCCUGACCAUGUUCCCCUACUUCUAAAAUCUCAACGCUGACUUAUUUCCGCUGUAAAAUUCCAGCCUGCCUCUUUAUCAGUUCUGGGUAACUCUGUUAGUGUUCCCUCCUCUUGGAAAGCCCUUUCAUCUCCAGUGCUGGGAAUACCUGUCGUUGGGAAGCAGGGGGUGUUGUUAUUAAUUUCCUUCUUCAACUUCCUUCAUUGAAAGGAUGCUCCGAAUCUGAAACGUGUGGUAGAUGAAACUGCUUGGAGUCACCUCCCCCAUUUUUUUUUAGGAAAUGCCUGGAAAUGUGUACAGAACACCCACUCAAAGCAUUCCAAAUGAAGACUCGGCACAAUUUCAGUGCUGGCCUGCGAAUGCGGGCUCCUGUGUUUCCUGCUUCCUUUGCAGCCCUGGCAGCCUCUCUGGAGUGUGUCAGCCAAGAUCAUACUUAGUUCCUCACCUUGAUGAGAUUGAGGUUGUCACAGCCAGCUUUUCCACGUGCAUAUCUUUCUCUUGGUUCUAUGUGGCAAGGUAAUAGAAAUCAGUCCUACCAGGCCAGGGAAAUGCACACACUUCCCAGAGUCUGUCACCGCUGAACCAAAAGUAACAAACCCCUGAGAACUUGGAAGGAGAACCAUUUAUCCUUUCUGAGUCAGCCAAUCACACAGGGUUCAAGACUGGUGCUCAAACUUCCAGAAAUCAUAGAAUCAUGGAGUCACAGAAUGGUUUGGGUUGGAAGGGAUCUCAAAGCUCAUCUCAUUCCAGACUCCCGCCAUGGGCAGGGACACCUUCCAUAGACCAGGUUGCUCCAAGCCCCAGAAAACGUUUAAUUCACAGCUUGAAAUAUCUUUUUUUAGUAAUGUUUAUAUUUCAAAUCCAUGUCAUGAAAGCCAGUGGCAAAAGGUCUUAUUCAUGGAGUGUUACUGACUCUAAUUGCUUGUAAGAAGAACUGUGUAAAUAAUGGAAUAUUUUGUUUGCUAAGAAUUCAUUAAGAAUUACUCAGCUCAAAAUAGCCAGGACAAGUGCAGUAAAAAGAAAUCACUCUCUUCACAAGCGUUAUUUCAAAGGUGUAUUUUUAAGAAUACUCAAAAUUAAAAAAAAAAAAAGAAACUUGAAUCCUAUCAGAGCAUUCCUUGUUUCUUUCCAGUGCAAACAAAUGAAAGCAUCUCUUUUGCUCAGCCUGUAUUUUUGUCCUUGCCCCACACAGAAAAAUAAAAACAUAAGACAUUAUUUUUUCAUUUCUGUCUCCCUGUGGUGCUUCCAGAGGCAGGAGUUAAGUGGCCAGCAAUGCCUCCCAGCCUGUCAGCAGUGAUGCUUUUUUAGGCCAGAGAGAACCUUUGGUCUCCUGGAUAGCAAGAGCGUGACAGAAUCCCUGAGCUAUCAAAUCAGUUAUUCUGCCAGCAUCUUUCUGGUUCACUGAGGAGUAAAUUAAUCCCACCUAGGAGUGCUCCAGCAGCAGAGGCAGGGACAGCACACACACUGCCCUGCUCAGGCAGCGAGGUGCUUGCCAGGAGUGUAAGCCAUGGAUAAAUAAUUCCUUUUCUUUGGGGAGCCUUCAAGGAUCUACUUCUCUGAGCACUGAUGCACACAUGGUGGGACAGCAGCAGUGAGGGAGCUUUUCCAGGGGGAGGAAACAAGCCCUGGGGCAGGUGCAGCAGCUCCACCGUGGACCUCCACAAUCCACCACAGUCCAGGUGUGUCUGGGGCUGGCACCAGCUUCUGGAGUCAGCCCUGGUCGGGAGGUGGUGGUGAGGGAGCUGCUCCAGCAGAAGGCCUUGGGACAGCUUCAGGUCACCCUCAUCACUUGGAAAGGAGGAGCGAGUUUCUAGCACGAUGUCACCAGUCCUUCUGCGCCCCAGAAGCUUUACCUGUCAAAGUUCUGCAGCUCCAGUGAGAAAAUAAGAGGUACAACGUGUGGUGCAGCAGAGCAUUCCACACUGAGCAGAAAUCUGUGCUUCCAGUUCCAGCUGUUACAAUGAACUGCAAACCCAUGCAUUUUCUGUGUGAUUUCUCUCAGUUGAUCCUCUUUUUUACCCUGUUCUUACAUCUUUCCUGGUUUCCACACACAUUUUUGGUCUGUUCAUUGCUUUACUGCAGUUAUGUACCUCUGACUGCUCCAAUGUUGUCCAUUAGUUUCCCCAAGGCAGUAGGUGCUUUGUCCCAGGAAUAUGUGCAGCCCUGGGAAGGACCAAGAUUCCUGUUAUGCUCAUAAAGUGAGUACUUAUUUAAACCCCAGAUUACUCAGAUUUUCUGGGCAUUUUCUGCCUAGGCCUCUAUUGUAAGCGGCUGUUGCAUUUGUUCACAAAUGGAACAUACAUUAUUCCUAGCAGCCCUCAUAAUGAGCAGUACACACAAAUGACCUCUUGGAAGCUCUCUUCACUCCUGCAAAACAUAAGAAAAUUGAAAAACUGUAUUUGCAAGGUGAGAAAUAAAAUGAAAACCUCACUUUGGCUGUCUAAAAGUAAAGUCAUAUGAAGCAAGACCUCACUGAAUAGCAAACUCUUAAAUACAAUUUCCUUUGCCACAAUAAAUGUUUCAGUAUAAGGUUGAAUAUACAGUUCAUUCCACUUAGCUGUAACAUUUUGUUCAACUUCAGGAACUUUUAAGUGAACAACUUCAGUUUUUUACAGGCUUAAACUGCUCUCUUGAAAAUCUUCUGGAGAAGAAAAAUGUGCCCUGGGAUGGUUUUAAGCAUUUUUUUGUUCAUUGUUGAGAUCGGAUGUUCUUCAACAACAGAUAAAUUGUUUCUGUGGCCUUAAUAGAAAUCUGAAGCUCUACCCAGCAUUUAGAACUUCACCUCAUGGACCAGAUCCUUGGCUGCCAUCCUUCCUACUUUGGUCUGCUCAGGAGGAAUUUGGGGAAUGUACGAAAUGUUUAAACGACAGCUACAAAUUAAGGUUGUCUUUCAGCUCAAGAGGGAACUGCAAUUAAGACAUGAUUGUUAUAAGGAGAAAAAACCCUCUCAGCUGAAGUGUUUCCAAGCUACUCAUCACUUCCCUAAUGCUUCUCUUAUGGAAAUUCAUCUAGUCCUGUGAUAUCGAUCUUGUAAACAAAUACUUUCUUUCCUUACCUCCUGCGAUAAAAUUUGUACUUGAUAUUUCUCUAGGAACUCCUGGGUCCCUCCUUGUCUUUUUUCAGAUUGGGAAACGUGAAACCAAAAAAAUAAAAAAGGAUUGUAAAAAAUGAA